rnacentral:lncRNA from 1 species
CAUUUAAACCACACAAAAUUCAAGACAGUGGUGACUUUGGGUUGAGGGGAGGGAGACAAGUCAAUGAAGAGGAUGCACAGGUGCAUCUGGCUGGUUAAUAGUCUAUAGUCUGUUUCUUAGAUUGGGUAGUGAGUGCCCAGGGCAUUUAUCCAAUAAGAAACAAGUGGCAUGCAAAAUAAACGCAGGCCCUGGACCGACACUGUGUCAUGAACCAAGGAUUAUGUCUAAUAAAACCCUGCGCCUCUGAGGUCCUCGAAGGUAGCAGGGCUAGGGGGGCCGGGUAAGGCUGGAGUCUGGCGAUGCCUCCCGUGUACUUACACGAUGGCGCUCACUCCUCGGCAGUAGCGCUCCCACAUGCUGCGGAAACGCGGCUGUCCCCCAAUGUCCCAGAGCUGAGCAAGAAGAGGGUGAGAUAGCCUCAGUAGUGGGCAGGCCACCAAAACGUGUCUUGGGUCUCAAAUGCCCCCUCCUACCCUGCCCUACUCUCCUCUGCCUCCCCGGCUUCCUCUCCAGUUCUCCCCCGUCUCCACCCGCUCUCCGUCUACCUUAGAAGUCUUCUACUGUCUUUUCCCAGCUCCUCAGCAGGGGGACCCUGGCCUCUGCCCCACUUCAGCUCGCUCCUCCCAGGGGCCUCCGUUGCCCUCCCCAACACACACACACACACACACACACACAAAAACAGUCCUCUGCACCCCCCAAGCUUCUGGGCCCUCACCUUGAUAGUCACAUUCCCUUUGGUGAUUUUGCGCAUGUUGAAACCCACGGUGGGGAUCAUGUCCUCGUUGAACUGUCCUGACUGGAAAGAAGACUCAGAAUGGGAAACAGUGCAAAAAUCGAUAUGCCCCCACCGCAGACCAAGAGGCUGCGAGAACCAUGCAGAGGCCAGGCCAGAGCUUCCUAGACUUCCCACUGUGGGGUACUCUUGCACAUCCUGUGCUUUCAGGCAGGAUGGGCUAUCACCAACCUAUGUGUCCCGCCUACACCUGGGGAUGCCCUGUGAAAAGACCCGCUUUUGUCAGACAGUCUCAAUCUCUUUGCCUAGACUAGGGGAAAAUUCUUCCUCAAGUCUAACCUACAUCUCUCUGUAGUAACUGACGCCACUUUCUCUCCAGUGGAGAGGAAGAAGAAAUUACCUUCCAGCAAGAGAACUUGAAGCAAGUCAUGUUCUAAUAGUUAAGGAGGAUCUCAAAGAAAGCAGAUGAAUUUUCAAACUAAAAAAUCAAACUUUUUAGGGCAGAGUAUAUUGGUCAUCCUGAAAAUGCAGUGCAUGCCAAGCAAUUUCUGGAUUAUCCAUGGUUCAGUUUAUUUGUACUGUACUCCAGUUAUUGGGAAGGAUAACCUACACUCUAUAUCGUCUGCUUAUUUAUCUAUGUGUCUCCUCACUAGAAAGAACACUUCCUGGGAGAGGACCCAGGUCUAUAGUAACACCAUUAGUAAAUGUUUGCUGAA